rnacentral:rRNA from 1 species
CAGCCGCCACGGUAAUACGUAGGGGGCAAGCGUUGUCCGGAAUUAUUGGGCGUAAAGCGCGCGCAGGCGGUCAUUUAAGUCUGGUGUUUAAUCCUGGGGCUCAACCCCAGUUCGCAUCGGAAACUGGAUGACUUGAGUGUAAGAGAGGAAAGUGGAAUUCCACGUGUAGCGGUGAAAUGCGUAGAGACGUGGAGGAACACCAGUGGCGAAGGCGACUUUCUGGCUUAUAACUGACGCUGAGGCGCGAAAGCGUGGGGAGCAAACAGGAUUAGAUACCCCAGUAGUCCCUGUCUCUUAUACC